rnacentral:rRNA from 1 species
UACGUAGGGUGCAGGCGUUAAUCGGAAUUACUGGGCGUAAAGCGUGCGCAGGCGGUUUCUUAAGUCAGAUGUGAAAGCCCCGGGCUUAACCUGGGAACUGCGUUUGAAACUGGGAGACUAGAGUGUGGCAGAGGGGGGUGGAAUUCCGCGUGUAGCAGUGAAAUGCGUAGAGAUGCGGAGGAACACCGAUGGCGAAGGCAGCCCCCUGGGCCAACACUGACGCUCAGGCACGAAAGCGUGGGGAGCAAACAGG